rnacentral:rRNA from 1 species
AACGAACGCUGGCGGCAGGCUUAACACAUGCAAGUCGAACGCCCCGCAAGGGGAGUGGCAGACGGGUGAGUAACGCGUGGGAACGUACCUUUCAGUUCGGAAUAACUCAGGGAAACUUGUGCUAAUACCGGAUACGCUCGCAAGAGGAAAGAUUUAUCGCUGAAAGAUCGGCCCGCGUUGGAAUAGCUAGUUGGUGGGGUAAUGGCCUACCAAGGCGACGGUCCAUAGCUGGUCUGAGAGGAUGAUCAGCCACACUGGGACUGAGACACGGCCCAGACUCCUACGGGAGGCAGCAGUGGGGAAUAUUGGACAAUGGGCGAAAGCCUGAUCCAGCCAUGCCGCGUGAGUGAUGAAGGCCCUAGGGUUGUAAAGCUCUUUCACCGAUGAAGAUAAUGACGGUAGUCGGAGAAGAAGCCCCGGCUAACUUCGUGCCAGCCGCCGCAGUAA